rnacentral:rRNA from 1 species
CUGGCUCAGAUUGAACGCUGGCGGCAGGCCUAACACAUGCAAGUCGAACGGUAACAGGAAGCAGCUUGCUGCUUCGCUGACGAGUGGCGGACGGGUGAGUAAUGUCUGGGAAACUGCCUGAUGGAGGGGGAUAACUACUGGAAACGGUAGCUAAUACCGCAUAACGUCGCAAGACCAAAGAGGGGGACCUUCGGGCCUCUUGCCAUCGGAUGUGCCCAGAUGGGAUUAGCUUGUUGGUGGGGUAACGGCUCACCAAGGCGACGAUCCCUAGCUGGUCUGAGAGGAUGACCAGCCACACUGGAACUGAGACACGGUCCAGACUCCUACGGGAGGCAGCAGUGGGGAAUAUUGCACAAUGGGCGCAAGCCUGAUGCAGCCAUGCCGCGUGUAUGAAGAAGGCCUUCGGGUUGUAAAGUACUUUCAGCGGGGAGGAAGGGAGUAAAGUUAAUACCUUUGCUCAUUGACGUUACCCGCAGAAGAAGCACCGGCUAACUCCGUGCCAGCAGCCGCGGUAAUACGGAGGGUGCAAGCGUUAAUCGGAAUUACUGGGCGUAAAGCGCACGCAGGCGGUUUGUUAAGUCAGAUGUGAAAUCCCCGGGCUCAACCUGGGAACUGCAUCUGAUACUGGCAAGCUUGAGUCUCGUAGAGGGGGGUAGAAUUCCAGGUGUAGCGGUGAAAUGCGUAGAGAUCUGGAGGAAUACCGGUGGCGAAGGCGGCCCCCUG